rnacentral:rRNA from 1 species
UGAAUACGAGACGCUAAGGCGUCGAAGUAGUGUAUGUCAUACUUCCAAGAAAAGCUUGCACUGUCAUAGAUAAAAAACGCCUGUACCAUAACCGACACAGGUGGGUAGGUAGAGUAUACUAAGGGGCGCGAGAUAACUCUCUCUAAGGAACUCGGCAAAAUAACUCCGUAACUUCGGGAGAAGGAGUGCCUUAUUCGUAAGGUUGCAAUAACAAGAUCCAAGCAACUGUUUAUCAAAAACACAGGUCUCCGCUAAGUCGUAAGACGAUGUAUGGGGGCUGACGCCUGCCCAGUGCCAGAAGGUUAAAGAAGUUGGUUAGCAAUUGCGAAGCUGAUAACUGAAGCCCUGGUGAACGGCGGCCGUAACUAUAACGGUCCUAAGGUAGCGAAAUUCCUUGUCGGGUAAGUUCCGACCCGCACGAAAGGCGUAAUGAUUUGGAUACUGUCUCGGAGAGGGGCUCGGUGAAAUAGACUUGUCUGUGAAGAUGCGGACUACCUGCACCAGGACAGAAAGACCCUAUGAAGCUUUACUGUAACUUGAAAUUGAAAUUGGACUUUAUUCGCGCAGUAUAGGUGGGAGGCGUUGAUUAUAAUCUUGUGGGAUUAUUGGAGCCAUCAGUGAGAUACCACUCUUGUAAUGUUAGAUUUCUAACUUUGAAUCAUUAUCUGGUCAAAGAACAGUUUCAGGCGGGCAGUUUGACUGGGGCGGUCGCCUCCUAAACGGUAACGGAGGCGUACAAAGGUUUCCUCUGAACGGUUAGAAAUCGUAUCUAGAGUGUAAAGGCAUAAGGAAGCUUGACUGUGAGACCUACAAGUCGAGCUGGGACGAAAGUCGGUCUUAGUGAUCUGACGGUACUGAGUGGAAAGGCCGUCACUCAACGGAUAAAAGUUACUCUAAGGAUAACAGGCUGAUCUCCCCCAAGAGUUCACAUCGACGGGGAGGUUUGGCACCUCGAUGUCGGCUCAUCGCAUCCUGGGGCGGUAGUACGUCCCAAGGGUUGGGCUGUUCGCCCAUGAAAGCGGUACGCGAGCUGGGUUCAGAACGUCGUGAGACAGUUCGGUCCAUAUCCGGUGUAGGCGUUAGAAUAUUGAGAGGAGCCUUUUUUAGUACGAGAGGACCGAGAAGGACAUACCUCUGGUGUACCAGUUAUCGUGCCAACGGUAAACGCUGGGUAGCUAUGUAUGGAGUGGAUAACCGCUGAAAGCAUCUAAGUGGGAAGCCCACCUCAAGAUAAG